rnacentral:misc_RNA from 1 species
GUAACAAGGUUUCCGUAGGUGAACCUGCGGAAGGAUCAUUAACGAGUUAGGGUCCCUCGCGGCCCGACCUCCCAACCCUUUGUCUACCUGACCACUGUUGCUUCGGCGAGCCCGUCUGUAAUGGACCGCCGGGGGGUACCUUGAUCGGCCCUCUGGUCCGCGCUCGUCGAUAGCCAAACUUUUAAAAUCUUAACCAAACGUGUCUCAAUCUAAGUAUUAUUUGUUAAAUAAAAGCAAAACUUUCAACAACGGAUCUCUUGGUUCUGGCAUCGAUGAAGAACGCAGCGAAAUGCGAUAAGUAAUGCGAAUUGCAGAAUUUCAGUGAGUCAUCGAAUCUUUGAACGCACAUUGCGCCCUUUGGUAUUCCGAAGGGCAUGCCUGUUCGAGCGUCAUUAUCACCCCUCAAGCCCCCGGCUUGGUGUUGGACGGUUUGGUGGAGGCCCCCUCGCGGGGCCACCGCCCCUCCCAAAGACAAUGACGGCGGCCUCGUUGGACCCCCGGUACACUGAGUUCUUCACGGGACACGUAUCGGACACAUGGGUUUACGGGACACGGUCUGCCUCCCCUCAGGGAGAAUCUUUCUAAGGUUGACCUCGGAUCAGGUAGGGAUACCCGCUGAACCUAAGCAUAUCA